UACGAAGGGGGCUAGCGUUGCUCGGAAUUACUGGGCGUAAAGAGCGCGCAGGCGGUCGUUCAAGUCGCGUGUGAAAGCCCCCGGCUCAACUGGGGAGGGUCACGCGAUACUGAUCGACUCGAAGGCAGGAGAGGGAAGUGGAAUUCCCGGUGUAGUGGUGAAAUGCGUAGAUAUCGGGAGGAACACCAGUGGCGAAGGCAGCUCGCUGGGACGUGACUGACGCUGAGACGCGAAAGCCAGGGGAGCAAACGGG
rnacentral:rRNA from 1 species